rnacentral:rRNA from 1 species
CACGGGGGGAGCAAGCGUUGUUCGGAUUUACUGGGCGUAAAGGGCGCGUAGGCGGCAUGACAAGUCACUUGUGAAAUCUCCGGGCUUAACUCGGAACGGUCAAGUGAUACUGUCGCGCUAGAGUGCGGAAGGGGCAAUCAGAAUUCUUGGUGUAGCGGUGAAAUGCGUAGAUAUCAAGAGGAAUACCUGAGGUGAAGACGGGUUGCUAGGCCGACACUGACGCUGAAGCGCGAAAGCCAGGGGAGCAAACGGG